AAACCAUUUGAUGAACUUGGAUUUGCAUUAUCUCAUGACGGUCAUCUGAGUUUCACUAUGAUGUAGUCAUCCAUUAUAUCUGAGGGUG
rfam:Lupinus angustifolius cultivar Tanjil chromosome LG17, whole genome shotgun sequence.